rnacentral:rRNA from 1 species
AACGAACGCUGGCGGCAGGCUUAACACAUGCAAGUCGAACGCCCUCUUCGGAGGGAGUGGCAGACGGGUGAGUAACGCGUGGGAACCUACCUUUAGGUACGGAAUAACAGUUAGAAAUGACUGCUAAUACCGUAUGUGCCCGAGAGGGGAAAGAUUUAUCGCCUAUAGAUGGGCCCGCGUUGGAUUAGCUAGUUGGUGAGGUAACGGCUCACCAAGGCGACGAUCCAUAGCUGGUUUGAGAGGAUGAUCAGCCACACUGGGACUGAGACACGGCCCAGACUCCUACGGGAGGCAGCAGUGGGGAAUAUUGGACAAUGGGGGAAACCCUGAUCCAGCCAUGCCGCGUGAGUGAUGAAGGCCUUAGGGUUGUAAAGCUCUUUCGCUGGGGAAGAUAAUGACGGUACCCAGUAAAAGAAGCCCCCCGGCUAAACUUUCGUGCCAGCAGCCGCGGUAAA